GACGAACGCUGGCGGCGUGCUUAACACAUGCAAGUCGAACGGAAAGGCCCUGCUUUUGUGGGGUGCUCGAGUGGCGAACGGGUGAGUAACACGUGAGUAACCUGCCCUUGACUUUGGGAUAACUUCAGGAAACUGGGGCUAAUACCGGAUAGGAGCUCCUGCUGCAUGGUGGGGGUUGGAAAGUUUCGGCGGUUGGGGAUGGACUCGCGGCUUAUCAGCUUGUUGGUGGGGUAGUGGCUUACCAAGGCUUUGACGGGUAGCCGGCCUGAGAGGGUGAACGGCCACAUUGGGACUGAGAUACGGCCCAGACUCCUACGGGAGGCAGCAGUGGGGAAUAUUGCACAAUGGGCGGAAGCCUGAUGCAGCAACGCCGCGGGCGGGAUGACGGCCUUCGGGUUGUAAACCGCUUUCGCCUGUGACGAAGCGUGAGUGACGGUAAUGGGUAAAGAAGCACCGGCUAACUACGUG
rnacentral:rRNA from 1 species